CUACGGGACGCACCAGUGAGGAAUAUUGCACAAUGGAGGAAACUCUGAUGCAGCAACGCCGCGUGGAGGAUGACGCAUUUCGGUGUGUAAACUCCUUUUAUAUGUCAAGAAAAUGACGGUAGCAUAUGAAUAAGCACCGGCUAACUCCGUGCCAGCAGCCGCGGUAAUACGGAGGGUGCAAGCGUUACUCGGAAUCACUGGGCGUAAAGGACGCGUAGGCGGGAUAUCAAGUCAGGUGUGAAAUCCUACAGCUUAACUGUAGAACUGCACUUGAAACUGGUAACCUAGAGUAUGGGAGGGGGAGAUGGAAUUAGUGGUGUAGGGGUAAAAUCCGUAGAUAUCACUAGGAAUACCUAAAGCGAAGGCGAUCUCCUGGAACAUAACUGACGCUAAGGCGUGAAAGCGUGGGGAGCAAACAGGAUUAGAUACCCCCGUAGUC
rnacentral:rRNA from 1 species